rnacentral:rRNA from 1 species
GACGAACGCUGGCGGCGUGCUUAACACAUGCAAGUCGAACGAAGUGGCGAACGGGUGAGUAACGCGUAAUCAAGCUGCCCUUCAGAGGGGGACAACAGUUGGAAACGACUGCUCAUACCGCAUACUGAAGGAGGGGAUUGCGUCUGAUUUGCUAGUUGGAGGGGUAAGGGCCCACCAAGGCGAUGAGCAGUAGCCGGUCCGGGAGGAUGAACGGCCACAGUGGGACUGAGACACGGCCCAGACUCCGACGGGAGGCAGCAGUGGGGGAUCUGCCGCAAUGGAAGAAAGGCUGACGGAGCAACGCCGCGUGAGGGAUGAAGGCUUUCGGGUUGGAAAGCUCUGGUAAUCGGGAAGCGGUACCGGAAUAGAAAGCCACGGCUAACUACGUGCCAGCAGCCGCGGUAAUUC